UGACUGGUUUUACUGAUUCCUCCCUCUUGAAGAACUGUAAUGCCAUUAAGUUGGUGUUGCAGGGAAUCAGGACUGUUACUUUGAAAAAAUUAGAGUGUUUAAAGCAGGCUUUAGCUUGAAUACAUUAGCAUGGAAUAAUGAAAUAGGACGUUUGAUCCUAUUUUGUUGGUUUCUAGGAUUGACGUAAUGAUUAAUAGGGAUAGUUGGGA
rnacentral:rRNA from 1 species